UGUACAUAAUAAUCUGACGUGUGUCUUUGUGUUGUUCUGCAGGCACGAAGGCCCUCACCCAGGUGGAGGAUGGUGACUCCAUGCUGAGACCCCAGACUUCUGUUAGAACCUUCCUAAGCGUGGACUUGCAGAGCUGAAAGGGAAGAGAGAGGAUGUGGACAGCGGCAAAGUAUUGAGAAGAGGAAGUCAUUUUACAGUUGCCGCAGCUGCUACUGAAUUUAGAUUGGAAAAAUGAUUUGCGCGAGCAAAGUGGCGAUCAGAUCCAACAGGAAGGCCCUGCUCAGGGGGGUCAUUCCCAGGCCCAGGCUGAUGGAGGCUCAGUCUCGGCACGAGCUUUCGCUGUGAGUGUGGUGCGGGGGAGAGCUGGAGAGACCGGCGCCAGCAGAUACAUGUGUCCACCUGGAAACGCCAGGCACCACUCCUGCCCACUUUUCACUGGGGAAAGCAAGCCAACUAGAUGUCUGUCUUCAAGGGGGCAGGAAAGUGCAGUCCACCUGCAGGCCUGGACAGAGAGGAGAGCUGUGUCGAUGAACAGAAAUGACGUCUGACACAGCAGGAACCGAUGCAGAUAGGUCAUCAACAAAUACUCAAGGCGAUACUUCUGCAAUUGUAACAGAAGGAUUUAAGGGGUGGCUGUGAUACACUUGGAAAGAGCACCAACUUAGAGGCCGAGCACCUGGGCUGGAGUGUGAUUGAAAUUUGCCAGCUCUGCAUCUCUAGGCAAGGAAUCUUUGAGCAUCGGUUUUCUCAACUAUAAAAAUAGGGAUGACAGUAUUCAUCAUGCAGAGUCUUUAUGUGGUCCAAUGAA